CUGGCUCAGAUUGAACGCUGGCGGCAGGCCUAACACAUGCAAGUCGAGCGGUAGAGAGAAGCUUGCUUCUCUUGAGAGCGGCGGACGGGUGAGUAAUGCCUAGGAAUCUGCCUGGUAGUGGGGGAUAACGUUCGGAAACGGACGCUAAUACCGCAUACGUCCUACGGGAGAAAGCAGGGGACCUUCGGGCCUUGCGCUAUCAGAUGAGCCUAGGUCGGAUUAGCUAGUUGGUGAGGUAAUGGCUCACCAAGGCGACGAUCCGUAACUGGUCUGAGAGGAUGAUCAGUCACACUGGAACUGAGACACGGUCCAGACUCCUACGGGAGGCAGCAGUGGGGAAUAUUGGACAAUGGGCGAAAGCCUGAUCCAGCCAUGCCGCGUGUGUGAAGAAGGUCUUCGGAUUGUAAAGCACUUUAAGUUGGGAGGAAGGGUUGUAGAUUAAUACUCUGC
rnacentral:rRNA from 1 species